rnacentral:ncRNA from 13 species
GAGUUUCGUCAGAUGUUCCUCCUCCUCCCUGAGCAUCUGACGACGUGGCGGCGAUGCCCUCCUCCUCCCUGGCAUCGCCGCCCACAGAACAAGUUUCGGCGGGCUCUCCUCCUCCUCCCUGAGGGUCCGGCGAAUUCA